rnacentral:rRNA from 1 species
GACGAACGCUGGCGGCGUGCCUAAUACAUGCAAGUAGAACGCACAGUUUAUACCGUAGCUUGCUACACCAUAGACUGUGAGUUGCGAACGGGUGAGUAACGCGUAGGUAACCUGCCUGGUAGCGGGGGAUAACUAUUGGAAACGAUAGCUAAUACCGCAUAAUAUUGAUUAUUGCAUGAUAAUUGAUUGAAAGAUGCUAUUGCAUCACUACCAGAUGGACCUGCGUUGUAUUAGCUAGUAGGUGAGGUAACGGCUCACCUAGGCGACGAUACAUAGCCGACCUGCGAGGGUGGUCGGCCACACUGGGACUGAGACACGGCCCAGACUCCUACGGGAGGCAGCAGUAGGGAAUCUUCGGCAAUGGGCGGAAGUCUGACCGAGCAACGCCGCGUGAGUGAAGAAGGUUUUCGGAUCGUAAAGCUCUGUUGUAAGGGAAGAACGGGUGUGAGAGUGGAAAGUUCACACUGUGACGGUAUCUUACCAGAAAGGGACGGCUAACUACGUG